GUGCCAGCAGCCGCGGUAAUACGUAGGGGGCUAGCGUUGUCCGGAAUCAUUGGGCGUAAAGCGCGUGUAGGCGGCUCGGUAAGUCCGCUCUGAAAGCCCGGGGCUCAACCCCGGGAGGCGGGUGGAUACUGUCGAGCUCGAGUCCGGAAGAGGCAAGUGGAAUUCCCGGUGUAGCGGUGAAAUGCGCAGAUAUCGGGAGGAACACCAAUGGCGAAGGCAGCUUGCUGGGACGGUACUGACGCUGAGACGCGAAAGCGUGGGGAGCAAACAGGAUUAGAUACCCUCGUAGUCC
rnacentral:rRNA from 1 species